rnacentral:rRNA from 1 species
UACGUAGGGUGCAAGCGUUGUCCGGAAUUAUUGGGCGUAAAGAGCUCGUAGGCGGUCUGUUGCGUCGGCUGUGAAAACCCGGGGCUCAACUCCGGGCCUGCAGCCGAUACGGGCAGACUAGAGUUCGGCAGGGGAGAACGGAAUUCCUGGUGUAGCGGUGAAAUGCGCAGAUAUCAGGAGGAACACCGGUGGCGAAGGCGGUUCUCUGGGCAUUACCUGACGCUGAGGAGCGAAAGUGUGGGGAGCGAACAGG